rnacentral:rRNA from 1 species
AGGGCACCACCAGGAGUGGAGCCUGCGGCUUAAUUUGACUCAACACGGGAAAUCUCACCAGGCCCGGACACUGGAAGGAUUGACAGAUUGGGAGCUCUUUCUUGAUUCAGUGGGUGGUGGUGCAUGGCCGUUCUUAGUUGAUGGAGCGAUUUGUCUGGUUAAUUCCGGUAACGAACGAGACUCUGGCCUACUAACUAGACGUUAGAUCCUUUAUGGGUUUGACGAUGCUUCUUAGAGGGACGGGCGGCUUUUAGCCGCACGAGAAUGAGCAAUAACAGGUCUGUGAUGCCCUUAGAUGUUCUGGGCUGCACGCGCGCUACACUGAAGAAAUCAGCGUGUGUUCCCUAUCCGAAAGGUUUGGGAAACCCGUUGAACCUUCUUCGUGAUGGGGAUUGGGGAUUGUAAUUAUUCCCCAUGAACGAGGAAUUCCCAGUAGGCGCGAGUCAUAAGCUUGCGUCGAUUACGUCCCUGCCCUUUGUACACACCGCCCGUCGCUACUACCGAUCGAGUGAUUUAGUG